GCAAGACGAAGACGCUUUGGUGGCGCGGUGCCGCAGCACGCACGGGCUUGACCCCCGACCUGCACUUGAAGAUCUGCGUCAGCCAGGCUCUCGGGGACAACGCCAUUGACCACCACGUCGAGGAGCAGGAGGCCAUCGGGAUCCAGACCCCGGGCCACCUGGGUCAUCAUCCCUUCUGGACCAGCCCCGGUUUGUUCCAAACCGUUUGAAAAAAGAACCAAAAAAUGGCCCUGGACGUGGAUUCUCAGAUCUUCUUCAUGUGAUGCCCCGCCCUCCACGCAGGACCAGGUGGGGCCAUGGACUGGGCAAGGGGAACACACCCGCUCCCCACUUGCUCUGAGUCAGGGACGGUGCCAGCUUUGCAAGGUUCACAGGAGCUGGCCAGGCCCCUGUGCAUGGGCACCACCUUCCCAGCCUCUCUGUGCGUCUGUUUCAUGGAACAAAGCCUGGUCCACGGGCUUGGGGCCAGAUGCUUCUCCAGGCCUCACACUCCUGCAGCUAGAAUAAGCAGCCAUGUCUGGGCAGCGUCUCGCUUCAUCUGCUGUCUGCUGACAGCCAGCUCAGAGUGACUUCCCCAGCAAAAUCCCCUGACCCCACACUGCUCAUGCGGGACCAUGGCCAAGGGCAGCUUCAGAGGAGCUACUUUCAGUGAAGACUCCAUGAAUACUGCCCCUCCUGGACCCCCACGAGGGGCCAGGGAUUCCUUGGGAAGGGAGAGACAGUGACGUCCACUGUCACAAGCUCUGCAAGUCUCUCAGAGCAUUCAUCGCUCAGACACCGUACAUGAGAGCUCUGUGUGCAGGUGACUCUUCUUAGUCCUCUAGGUUUUCUAGGCAAUUCAAUUCUCCAUGUUUCCCGCUUCCCGUCACCUCCAGCCUGCACCCCUCACUCAUGACUGGAGAUCCCUCCACUUCCAUCAGCCUGAGCUUUAACUUAAAUGGGGAAAAGCCUCAGGGAGCCAUCGGUGGCUUGGGAAACCACAAUCUGAGCGCCCGCACCCCCAGAACACUGACCGUUUCACACACUCUUGGUCUGACUGUAAAUGCAGUUCCUUUGUUUUUGGGAGGUUGUGAGGGGGACAGGAAGUUGCCUGCAUCUGAGUCCACUUUGGAUUGCACUCAGCUUUGAGAGAUGGUCAGACGUGCUCUGGUCAUCAGGCCUUGAGCAAGUCUCGGGGCACAGGCUCUGCGCCUCCUAGGUCCAGCAUGUUCUGGAGGAUGCUCGCUGGGCUGUGACAAUAACCCAGAGGCAGGUGAUGCUCUGCCUUCCACUCACCCACGUUUGCGGGAGUGAAGAAGAGAUCGGGAGCUGCAGAUGAGAAGGCUGGAGUGUGACCCGCGCAGCUUUGGAAGGGGACAGGAAAUGGAACCCAGGCACGGCAGGCAAGCCACCGCCAGCUCUCUCAGACAUGGAGUGACGUAGCAGCCUCUUGUCCCCCUACAAGGCCAGGAUUGGGACCUGCCAGGCUGAUGGGGAAGGAGGAAAAGCAGGUUUUCAGGAGGGAAAACAGGUUUAGAAGCUCCCAAACCCUGAACUCCCUUCACCCACCCAUGCCCCUUAAGGAAAUCGUCCCACAGAAAUCUUCAGGGCCACACACAAAGAUACGCAGCACGGUGUGGCUUUGGGGAAUGGAAACUAGGAAAAUAAACUACGUUGCUCAUUUGACAAAGCCAACACGAACGAAGAUAAAAAACGUUCCCAUGGAAUGAUACGAAGCCAAUCAAAAAGCUGUGGACCGAUGUGUAUCAUAAUUGGAUGUCUUCCAAGAUAGAGGAAGUAAAAAUGGCAGGUUAUAGAGGGUGUAAAUUUGACAUUUGUAAAAAGAAAAGUGUAUCUCCUCUAUCCAGAGAAAACAGUGUGGAAGAAUGUAUCUCCCCAAAUAAUUGCUUAAGCUACUUUGGGUCACUGAAUUAUGGGAGAGAAUUACCUUCUUCUUCACAGAUUUCUAUAGUAUCUGGCCUUUCUACAGUUAACAUAUAUAAAGGAAGAAUAUUUGUUUCUAUUAAAAAAAAAUAAGGAGGCUGGGUUAUGGAUUGAAUGCUACCACACCACCCAAAAUUCAUACGUUGAAGUCUUAACCCCCAGGACCUCAGAAUGUGACCCUAUUUGAAGAUAGGGUCUUUAUAGAGUAAGUCAAGUUAGAAUGAGGUCAUUAGGGCAGGCCUAAUCCAACAUGACUGUGUCCUUAUAAAUAGGGAAGUGUAGACACACACAGGGAAGAUGAAGGCAGAGGUGGGGGUGAUGUUUCGACAAGCCACAGAAUGCCGAGGACCACCACCAAGACCCUGGGAGAGAGACCCAGACCAGAUCCUCCCCACAGUGUUCAGAAGAAACCAGGGCUGCUGACAGUGUGAUCCUGGAUUUGCAGCCUCCAGAACUAUGAGACAAUCAGUGUGGCUUAAGCCUCCAGCUUGUGGUGUUUUGUUUUGUUUUGUUUUGUUUUGUUUUUUUACCAGUAGCCCUACAGAACAAAUACAAAGGCCAUGUACAUAGCUCUGUGGUUGGGACUGGGGCCUGCCAACAGGAGAGGGUAAGAAGUGGGACGGGCCGGGCGCGGUGGCUCACGCCUGUAAUCCCAGCACUUUGGGAGGCCGAGAUGGGCGGAUCACGAGGUCAGGAGAUAGACACCAUCCUGGCUAACGCGGUGAAACCCCAUCUGUACUAAAAAUACAAAAAACUAGCCGGGCAUGGUGGCGGGUGCCUGUAGUCCCAGCUACUUGGGAGGCUGAGGCAGGAGAAUGGUGUGAACCCGGGGAGCAGAGCUUGCAGUGAACCGAGAUUGCACCACUGCACUCCAGCCUGGGCAACAAGAGUGAGAGACUCCGUCUCAAAAAAAAAAAAAAAAAAAAAAAAGAAGUGGGACGAAGCCCUGAAAUACAUGGGGGUCUGCUUAGACCCAAGGCUAACUCUGAGACUGCAUCUCUGGCUGGGGGGUCAGAGAACCGCUGAACUUUCAGAGCUGCAUAGGUUGGUACCCUGCCCCGGCCUGUGGGAGAUAAUGAGAGCAACGGCCAGAAAGGGUCCCACAUUUGGUUGGCAGUGGGUUUCACGUGGAUUUCCAGGUGGCCAAGUGUCAAGUCCCAAUUCCAAUUAGCUGAGAGGCGCUGCCUGGGAGGGCUCAUUGGAGAAAGAUUCUGCCAACGCAUGUGGUGAUAGAUUAGUGAUGUCUGCCAGGGACAGCGAGGGAGAUGCAUCGCCACACAUAGGGAGUGUUCCCAUGUGGUGAUAGAUUAGUGAUGUCUGCCAGGUACAGGGAAGGGGACACAUCCCCACAUAUAUGGAGUGUUCCCUUCAGAGGCACAGGCCACAGAAAUAAUAUCUUAUGACUUGCCUUUAUGCAGGUCUGAAUCCAUUUACUGUGGUUUCUCAGGAUAG
rnacentral:lncRNA from 1 species